rnacentral:rRNA from 1 species
ACGUAGGGUGCGAGCGUUAAUCGGAAUUACUGGGCGUAAAGCGUGCGCAGGCGGUCCGCAAAGUCUGAUGUGAAAGCCCCGGGCUCAACCUGGGAACUGCAUUGGAAACUAACGGGCUCGAGUGUGGCAGAGGGGGGUGGAAUUCCACGUGUAGCAGUGAAAUGCGUAGAGAUGUGGAGGAACACCGAUGGCGAAGGCAGCCCCCUGGGCUAACACUGACGCUCAGGCACGAAAGCGUGGGGAGCAAACAGGAUUAGAUACCCUGGUAGUCCACGCCCUAAACGAUGUCAACUGGGUGUUGGGGGAGCGAUUCCUCAGUACCGUAGCUAACGCGUGAAGUUGACCGCCUGGGGAGUACGGCCGCAAGGUUA